UGUUAAAAAUUUAAUUCGUUUAUACUGUUAAAAACUAACGUGGUUGACAGAAUAACCAAACAGUGACACAUGACAUGUCAUAUAUGCCUCAUGCUGAUGUACAUUGACCAAAUUUUAACAGUAGAAAUAAAUGAAAUUUUUAACA
rfam:Gossypium raimondii Chr04_contig_781, whole genome shotgun sequence.